AAGCCACCUGUAUAUCAAGAAAAGCUUAUGGAUAAAACAAAAUGCUGGGACAAUAACUGCCACAAACAUGUGGCUUUAAAAUCCUUGAUUUAUAAAUCAGCAAAAAGUGGACAAAGGCACAGCCAGACAAUUCGCUGAAAGUGAGUCCCAGGUGUGCAGGCAGCGCUAGCAGGAGCGUUCAGCCUCACCGGCACGUGCAGGCGCCGGUCAGCAUGGAGGUCAGAUUGGCAAAGCCUCAUCACAUCCAGGCUUUGGCAAAACAGUAGAGACCGUCCACCAACCGUUGCUGAGACUGUCUGGCAGUGCAGUUUUCUGAGAGGGCAAACCUGGGAUGCGUAGCAAUGAAUUCAACAACACAGCCUUUGACUCGGCAACUGCACGUCAAGAAACGGAACUGUCAGGAAGCAUCUAGAACCCAGAGGGCAGAAUCCAGGAAAUGACUCUGUUCCGGAGUUCAUCUGUUGCUCUGGGCUACACUUGAUGCUACGGUAAAAUCACUCACCCUCACAUCCAGCCAGCGGCAACACACAAUGAACACCGUUCUGAAAAAGCAAAGCUGAGAGCCCCAGGAAGAUGCAGGAGGUGCGGUGGAACCCCCGGCAUCUGCUCCUAGUAGAGGCCAGUCUGGGCCUGACCUGGCAUUCCACCCUGCAGAUAGCGAGACUAAACCAAACUCCCAGGAGCAAUGUGACCAGCACAGGAUGGAGUCAACGCACCCUUUCUCUUGCAUAGUAGAUCUCGUCCUUCAUUAAGUACUUAUCAGAAACCUUCCCAAGCUCCCAGAACUGUGCCAGAAACUGUGGGGCCACACAGAAAUAGAAAACAAUCCCUGUCCUCAGAGAGCUUAUUGUCUAUCGA
rnacentral:lncRNA from 1 species